UUUUUCACUGUUUUAAGGUGUAUAAUAGUCAUGGAGAAACUUUAUUUUGAGUUUACUACCCCCAGUAAAAGUUUACUAGGGGUAGUAAAUUUUACUAGUGUGUAUUAUGGUUUUGAAAAUACUGUUUUGUAAGUUUACUACCCCCAGUAAAAGUUUACUAGGGGUAGUAAACUUUUUUUUUUCGUACUUGGGUUAAGAUCACGUAAAUUCCGAUGACAUUUAAAAAAAUACAGUGAGAUUUCCGGAAAAUUCCGGCCACCGGAUGCCAGCAAUUUUCCAGUCGUCGGAAAAUUCCGGUCACCGGUGACCGGAAUGCGGCUGCCGGAGUUCGGAGUCCGGCGACCGGAAUGCGGCUGCCAGUGACCGGCGCCGGUGUCCGGUGUGCUUCCGGGAAAGUCUUCCCUUCUUCUUUUUCAUUUUUUAUCUUUAAAUAAAGGUUAAGGGUAAAAAAGUGUUUAAAAAUAUAAUUUUAUUAUAUUUUAAUAAAGAUUUGUGUAUUUGAGCUUAAAAUAAGUACCUUGUAUUCAAAUGAGCUAAUAAAAAAAAUUAUCAUUAAAAUGGGGUUUGACUUUUUCUAUUUUGUGCAAAUGGUCUUUUUCCCUAAAUAUUUUAUUUUCUAUUAGAAAGCCCAACAGAAAACCCACCAACCUCAAUUAGGGCUUUACAUCAAUUUACUUAAUCACAAGGAGAGUACAUUAUACUGACCACCACCUUUGGUUCUUUUUUCAUGUGGGAUAAAUCCCACACAAGUUCCAACAACAUUUAGCUCUAGCUCUAUCUGUAUUCCUCUUUUCUUUUCUAAAAAUAUGUUAUUAGCACAUUAUGUCAUUGGGAAACAUUCACUAAUGUUCGGAAAAAUCAAAUAUCCGACUAUUUUUCUUAUUUACAUUUUACUUUUUCAGUUGCAGUAAGAGUAAACAAUGAUUUUUUCUACAGAUUACUAAUGACUUACAUGCAACCAGUGGAGAUGACUUCACAAAACUAGCCACCAUUCACUGCAUAUGACACGACCCACCCCGAAAUUCACCCUGAAACCCGGAGUAAGUCGUGCGGGGACCACCUCCAAGGAAAAUUUACUGAAAAGAUUAAGAAAAUCUCCCUUGCAGAUGGACAACCCUAACUCGAAAAUUUCAUAUUACACUCUUAAUUUAACGCUUCUGAAUAUCACAUAAUAUACAAAAUUCUAAAGUAUUCAGAGCUACUAAACACAAGCGGAAGCAAGAAAAUACGAGUAGGUUGAACAGGUAACCUACUGGCGAAAACUGGCAAAAAUGCGGGUGACUAUGCCUCGUCUCCUACUAGAUCCAACCCGAAUCUGCAGACUGGGCAAUUUAAA
rnacentral:lncRNA from 1 species